UACAGAGGGGGCAAGCGUUGUUCGGAAUUAAUGGGCGUAAAGGGCGCGUAGGCGGCCUGUUAAGUCGAACGUGAAAUCCCCGGGCUCAACCCGGGAACUGCGUCCGAUACUGGCAGGCUUGAAUCCGGGAGAGGGAUGCGGAAUUCCAGGUGUAGCGGUGAAAUGCGUAGAUAUCUGGAGGAACACCGGUGGCGAAGGCGGCAUCCUGGACCGGCAUUGACGCUGAGGCGCGAAAGCCAGGGGAGCAAACGGG
rnacentral:rRNA from 1 species